AACGAACGCUGGCGGCAUGCCUAACACAUGCAAGUCGAACGAAGCCUUCGGGCUUAGUGGCGCACGGGUGCGUAACGCGUGGGAAUCUGCCCUUGGGUUCGGAAUAACAGUUAGAAAUGACUGCUAAUACCGAAUGAUGUCUUCGGACCAAAGAUUUAUCGCCCAAGGAUGAGCCCGCGUCGGAUUAGCUAGUUGGUGAGGUAAAGGCUCACCAAGGCGACGAUCCGUAGCUGGUCUGAGAGGAUGAUCAGCCACACUGGGACUGAGACACGGCCCAGACUCCUACGGGAGGCAGCAGUGGGGAAUAUUGGACAAUGGCGAAAGCCUGAUCCAGCAAUGCCGCGUGAGUGAUGAAGGCCUUAGGGUUGUAAAGCUCUUUUACCCGGGAUGAUAAUGACAGUACCGGGAGAAUAAGCCCCGGCUAACUCCGUGCCAGCAGCCGCGGUAAU
rnacentral:rRNA from 1 species